rnacentral:lncRNA from 1 species
AUUCCCCGGCCAAAGGAAUACAUCUGAUUAAAUAACUAACUAGAAAAACAUUCAAAAACACACAUUUAAACAUUCAAAGCAUUCAAUCAACACAUCACUCCUAGAUUUUGCCUACCCGAACCUAUAUUCCGAAUUAAACAAAAGGACAACAAAAAUUAAUUUACCUUCAAAUUUUAUCGAUUUCUCUAUUCCCGCCCCAAAUUCUCUUCAAUCCUUAACGAGGUAUCGUUUCAUUACACGAUUCAUAAUCAAAAAAAUCAAGCAUCCAAUCAAACAAAGUAGCAAUUCAUCACCAAUCAAAAUCAAACGACACACGAUAUUCCAUCCAAUGAAAUAAAAAGACGAAAAGAUUAGAAAUGGACCUCAAUGAUGCUUUUAUUCCAAAUAUCAGUAAAUCGAAAAGACAGAAUCCGCGCGCCAAAGAACCUCGAACCAAACUUCAACAGUGACAAAGAUCUAACUCGAUAUGGCUAACCCCAAUCCGAACAAAUUUGAACUCGGGAACACAAACUCAAUUAUAAACUACCAAAUCAACAACUUCGAACAACAAUGACAAAGCCCUAAAAGAAAAUCCUGAAGAAGAAAUUCUAAUCUUGAAACCCAAGAGUAAAAAUAAAACCAAACCAGAACAGUGGUUCUCGAUGAUAGGGUUCUGUUUUUGGGUUUGGGAUUUAGCUUCACCGAAGUUCAACGGGCUCGAUGGAAGCGAAGACUAAUAGCGAAACGACGCGGAGACCAAGUUUUUCAGGCGAGAACUCGUCGAAAAUGAAGUAGACUGGCGUUUCUAUCUACUUGCUUGCUUGUUCCCAUUUAUUUUACGCACCUCCUUCCAUUUCCGUUGAUUUUCGUCGUGUUUUUCUAUUGAUGGAUAUAUAUUUCGCUCAGAUCUCCGUGUGUAGGUGAAUUCUGGGUGUUUUGUAUUGUUUUCUCUAUCCCCAGACCAUCAAUUUUCUUUGUGUAUAUUGUAGGUGUAUGUUGCUAUCUUCUCUGAAGUGUAAACUCUCUGUAUAUAAAAAAAAUGAAAACAAAAAGGUCCCUUGGCAUCUUCCUAGAAGGUUCCCUC